UCUGUGUCACCAAGUCUGUACACAUACACCUGACAGGCAGGCAAAGGAAUGCAUGUUCCUAACCAGAGAGAACAAGAGGAAUCAAGAAAUUUUAACUAAACUUUCUAAGCACUUCCAUUGGAAGGUACUUCUUAAAAAACUGGUGAAAUAAUUUAAGAAGACAACCUUGAGAAAAUAGCAUCUUGGAAUUAAGCAGAAGUAGGAGUAGGAGGGAGGCUACUGCUAGUGACACAGUUCCAAUGUCUGCUUUUUAUUGGUAGGCCUGGGAGGUGGGGGAUUCCAGUUAAAUGCGCUGGAGCUAAAGACUUACAGACAUUCCUCAUAUAAUUUAUGGCUCUGCAAAUUGCCCUAAUUUGUUUUUAAAAAAACACAUUAUUGAGAAAAUUUACAUUUUUUAUAGUUAAAUAAGCAUUAUAACUUAUAGACCAUGGGCUUUUAUUUAUUUACUUCCUUAUUCAUUUACUUGUUUACUCUUAAUUGCCUUUCCAUGUAUAUUAUUCAUCUUGUUAUUAGAGGAUUAAUCUUUCUCUUAUUUAUUUGUAAAUACUUUUUAAGAUUAUUAUUAUUAUUUAAGAUUACUAUUAUUAACUAUACACACCUACUAUGUAUAUAGUUUCCUGCACCCCAAAACACCAGUCACAUAGUUCAUGCUUGAUAAUGGUGCUCAUUUUUUUCUUUCGAAUCCUUAACAUAUUAGUCAUAGUUAUUUUAAGUUCUCUAUCUGAUUAUUUCACAAAUAUCUGCCACAUUUGUGCCUGGUUCUGAUACUUAACAGCUCUUCAAGUUGUGUUAUUUUGACUUUGUUUUUGUCUUUUAGUAUGCCUUAUAACUUUUUGCUGAAUAGUGGACAAGACUUAUUAGGUAAAAGGAACUAAUAUAGGUAGGCCUUCAUUCUAAGGUUUUAUUUUAUUUAUUUUUGUUUUUUUUCUUUUAGGGCCACACAGAAGUUUCCAGGUUAGGGGUCGAAUUGGAGUAGCAGCUGCCAGCCUACGCUGCAGCUCACAGCAACGCCAGAUCCUUAACCCACUGAGUGAGACCAGGGAUCAAACCCACAUCCUCAUGGAGAUUAGUUAGGUUUGUUACUGCUGAGCCACAACGGGAGCUCCAGAGGUUUUAUGUUUUUGUGGCUAUGAAUUAGACCGUAGGUGUAGUUAGAGGUGUCAGAGGCCAAAAUUUUCUAUGUUGUCCUUGUUUUAUUUAUUUAUUUAUUUUUUCUCUUGCAUUUUUGGACUUUCCUAGGAACUUUUUCUUAAUUAUGUUUUAAGACUUGUACUUCUUUUACUUAAAAUACCUGUGACUGUAUGGGAACCCUAUUACUGUGGUAAUAAAUGUGGGGAUGGGAAAUUUCCUAUAGUCCUAUGAUUAGGUCCCAGUCUUUUAAUGAGGCUGUGGCCCUAUUGUGAUACUCACAGUGUUUCUCAGUCCCUCUCCUCCUUCUGUGACAUAGGAAAUCUGGGGAGGAAUGCAGCCGGGUGUUUCUUAUGCCCCCAUGUGGAAUGAUAGAGCUGGCUUACAUUACAUAUUUCCCUUUUUCUAGGUUUGUGAGGGUCUUAUAAAGCACAAGGUGAUUAGGCUCUGAUAAAGCAGAAGGCAGGCUUUUGUUAAAGAAAACAGAAUGCCCGGAGUUCCCGUUGUGGCGCAGUGGUUAACAAAUUCAACUAGGAACCAUGAGGUUGCGGGUUCGGUCCCUGCCCUUGCUCAGUGGGUUAAGGAUCUGGUGUUGCCGUGAGCUGUGGUGUAGGUUGCAGACGCGGCUUGGAUCCCGCGUUGCUGUGGUUCUGGUGUAGGCUGGUGGCUACAGCUCCGAUUCGACCCCUAGCCUGGGAACCCCCAUAUGCCGCGGGAGUGGCCCAAAGAAAUAGCAAAAAAAGAAAAAAGAAAAAA
ensembl:lncRNA